AAGCAUUUAGUCCUUUAAAUCAUUUUAUUAUAGUUAACUUUAGAAAAAAUAACAAAAAAGAAGUUUUAUACCAUAGCAACUAAAUAACAGGAGAAUGCAAAUUCAUAUUCUCGAGUCACACCUUUAAGAAUAUAAAAUAUCAGAAGCUAAAGGAAGGAAGAACAAGCCAACAUGCUGCUUGAAUUGAUUCACUUUGAUUCAUUGGACUGCUAAUAUAUAUAUAUACAAGCCUAAGUAAUCAAAAUAUCUAACAUAUUUUCACUAUUUGACAGGCAAAUCUGCAUAAGGCAUGCCCAUCACGAAGCUAAGGCAACAGGCUAAGUACUACAACAGCAUUUAUCAGCACAAACAAGUAAUGCAACCGCUUCAAAGUAGUAUCCCACAUUCUCAACGUUUGCAAGCUUCGAAGCUUAUAGAAAGAACUUGGAAGUUUCCUUAUGCGAGAAGAACUCAAGUCAAGGUAUCGUAAGUGCUUCAAGGUACCAACAGAAUUCGGUAAAGCCUUCAAUGACGAAUAACUUAAAUCAAGUGCUCGUAGAUACUUAAAGUUCGAGACACAAAACUUGAUAAAAGAUUUAUCAAUAGUUUUUAAUUCCUUUGAGAGGUUUUGGGCAAUUAUUGUUCGCACAUGUUUUGAUUCCUUUAAAACUAGAGGAACUUUUAUGAAUGAUUGAUCAUCACAAAAUGACACAUGCCGAACUUUUUCAUCAA